UACGAAGGGGGCUAGCGUUGCUCGGAAUCACUGGGCGUAAAGCGCACGUAGGCGGCUUCUUAAGUCAGGGGUGAAAUCCUGGAGCUCAACUCCAGAACUGCCUUUGAUACUGGCGAGCUUGAGUUCGGGAGAGGUGAGUGGAACUGCGAGUGUAGAGGUGAAAUUCGUAGAUAUUCGCAAGAACACCAGUGGCGAAGGCGGCUCACUGGCCCGAUACUGACGCUGAGGUGCGAAAGCGUGGGGAGCAAACAGGG
rnacentral:rRNA from 1 species